UGAGCAAUCUGCCCUUCACAUCGGAAUAACCAUUGGAAACGAUGGCUAAUACCGAAUAUGACUUCGGAUCGCAUGAUCUGAAGUGGAAAGCUUCGACGGUCUGGGAUGGGCCCGCGGCCUAUCAGCUAGUUGGUGUGGGUAAUGGCCCACCAAGGCGAUGACGGGUAGCCGGCUCAGGAGGGUCGACCCGGCCACACGUGGGACUGAGACACGGCCCAGACCUCUACGGGA
rnacentral:rRNA from 1 species